rnacentral:SRP_RNA from 1 species
CCGUGCUAGACGGGGAGUUAGCGGUGCCCUGUAACCCGCAAUCCGCUAUAGCGGGGUCGAAUUCCUGCUGGAGGUUUACACCUGUAGGGCCAGGGGUCGAAUAAGAUACGAGGAUGACUGGGUCCUGUGCAACGAAACUCUACGAACCCUGUCAGGUCCGGAAGGAAGCAGCAGUAAGUAGAUGUUUUCGUGUGCCGCAGGGUAGCCUGGUCGGAGUAAACUGUUCGAUUCCCGCCUGUAGGUGUCAAAUCGAAGGCAGGUGCACGG